GGGCCAAUCGUAUAGUGGCUUAUUAUGCUGUCUUAGGGUUACGAGGUUGCAACCACGAUCCUAAGUUGACAGAGGUCCCCGGUUCGAUUCCGGGUUGGCCCCCCCCCC